rnacentral:rRNA from 1 species
UAUUGGACAAUGGGCGAAAGCCUGAUCCAGCCAUGCCGCGUGAGUGAUGACGGCCCUAGGGUUGUAAAGCUCUUUUACCUGGGAAGAUAAUGACUGUACCAGGAGAAUAAGCCCCGGCUAACUUCGUGCCAGCAGCCGCGGUAAUACGAAGGGGGCUAGCGUUGUUCGGAAUCACUGGGCGUAAAGCGCACGUAGGCGGAUUUUUAAGUCAGGGGUGAAAUCCCGAGGCUCAACCUCGGAACUGCCUUUGAUACUGGAGAUCUUGAGUCCGGGAGAGGUGAGUGGAACUGCGAGUGUAGAGGUGAAAUUCGUAGAUAUUCGCAAGAACACCAGUGGCGAAGGCGGCUCACUGGCCCGGUACUGACGCUGAGGUGCGAAAGCGUGGGGAGCAAACAG